AUGACUCACAAAUCAACCAUAGUCACUUAUUCUUUCUUCUUAUUUUUGAGCAAAUAUUGUUUCUUCCUUUCAUAUUGUGAGAAUGUCGAAAACCAAUAUGAAAGUAUGCAAUAAUUAUUUUCUGGUCGAUCCGACCAAAGCAAGUUUUCUUGAUCUCCUUCUUCUUUUGUUCUCCUCCAACCUGACCAGCGCAAGAUUCAUCGAUUCUCCUCCGGACACACUCAAAAGUUUCCGGAGAAGUUUCACGAGUCGAUGGAUCAUUGUGUUGGCCAUUUUUCUACAGAAGGUUUUAAUGCUCUUAAGAAAACCCAUGGCAAUCCUAGGUGGUUUUCUAACGUAUUCGCUCAAUCUUCUUACGGCAAAUGGUGGCUUCUUCAAGAUGAUACUAAACCUUUUGACAGGAAAGCUGGUGAAGCCUGAUAAAUCAUCCGCGGCAUAUACGUCGUUUAUAGGAUGCUCAGAUCGAAGAGUUGAACUUGACGAGAAGAUAAAUGUUGGUACCGUCGAAUACAAGGCGAUGCUAUCAAUGAUGGCUUCUAAGAUCGCUUAUGAGAGCAAACCUUUCAUCACUUCCGUCGUCAAGAACACUUGGAAGUUGGACUUGGUGGGUAACUACGACUUUUACAACGCUUUCCAAGAAAGUAAAUUGACGCAAGCCUUCGUGUUUAAGACGUCGAGCACCAACCCAAACCUCAUCGUCAUCAGCUUCAGAGGAACUGAACCUUUCGAGACUGCUGAUUGGUGCACUGAUCUCGACGUCUCUUGGUACGAGAUGAAGAACGUUGGCAAAGUCCACGCAGGGUUCUCGAGAGCUUUAGGCCUCCAAAAAAAUGGAUGGCCCAAGGAAAACCUAAGUCUCCUACACCAAUAUGCUUACUACACCAUCAGACAGAUGCUUAGGGACAAGCUUGCCAAAGACAAGAACCUUAAGUUUAUUCUAACAGGUCACAGCCUCGGGGGAGCACUAGCUGCUCUUUUUCCGGCGAUUCUAGCGAUUCACGGUGAGGAUGAGCUGCUAGAUAAGCUAGAGGGAGUCUACACGUUUGGACAGCCACGUGUAGGGGAUGAAGACUUUGGGGAGUUUAUGAAGGAUGUCGUGAAAAAGCAUGGGAUAGAGUAUGAGAGAUUUGUCUAUAACAAUGAUGUUGUGCCUAGAGUGCCUUUUGAUGACAAGAUUUUGUUCUCAUACAAGCACUAUGGACCUUGCAAUUGGUUCAACAGUCUUUACAAAGGAAAGGUAAGAGAAGAUGCACCGAAUGCGAACUACUUCAACUUGUUGUGGUUAAUACCGAAGCUGUUGAUUGGUUUGUGGGAGUUUAUAAGAAGUUUCAUAUUACAGUUUUGGAAAGGUAAAGAGUACAAAGAGAAUUGGAUGAUGAGAUCGGUUAGGAUUUUGGGAAUAGUAAUCCCUGGCGGCUCUAACCAUUUCCCAUUUGACUAUGUCAACUCCACCCGUUUAGGAGGCUUGGUUCGACCUCCUCCUACUACUACUACUCCUGAGGAUAAACUUGCUCUCAUUGCUUGAAUAUUGCAAAUUGAAUAAUCCUAUCCACUUUAUCUGCUCUUAAUGAGUUCAAUAAUUGUACAAGAGCUUUAAUUUAUUAUCUGUUAUAUCUCUUGUGUAUAUGUGUGAGUUUCUUUAUACCAUAUGUAUGUUGUUAACACUAUAUAUCUACCUUUCUUCAAGUUCUGAAUUAGAAUAAGAUAGAACCAGGUACAAAGUAAUUCUCAUGGAUUACACUGUCACCUUUUGUUUA